UUUGAGUUAUCGAGUAAUUAUUUUAUUUGGUCGUUCUUGUAAUAUAUUUGUUAUGUCAAUAUUUGUGAAGUUAUUAUUAUAUUAUUUUUCAUAUCGCAUUUAAUUGGCAAUUUGUUGAUUUGUAUUUACCCGAUUAGAAAAUUAAAGUCGGUCAUUGCGCCCUUUAUGUCGGUUAAUGAAAGAACCCAAACCUCAUCACAUUCCCUUCUCGUAGAUUCUGAAAUUUCAAAACCCAAAACCCCAAGGAAAACCCGAAACCCCGUGAAACCCCUUCUCCCUUGCGUCUAUCUCUCUCACACCCACAUCUCGCUGCCGCGCCGUCGGGCCUUGUUCGCCGGAGCUUCGCCGUGCUGUUCCCCCCCCCCCAACGCGGUGCUGAUGCUCUAAUUCCUUCGCAUCUCUCUCUCUCCUCUGUUCUCUUCGUCUUUGCUACUGAUAUUGCUGUGAGUUGUUGCUCGACGAACAGUCGCCGCCUUGCCGGAAUCUUGUCGCGCUGCUGUGGUUCGUGGCCAGUGGUGUUGCCCUUGUUCGUUUUUGUUGUGUUGUUGCUGAUUUCUCUCUUGCCUCUGUUCUUCUUCGCUGCUCUUUGAGCAGAGCAUCUUAAAUGUUUCAGGUUGAAGCCAUGAGUUAUUCUUUUGCAAGCUGAAGCGGAUAUGAGAUGGUGCAGUAUUAUAUUUGUUAUUGAAGUGAGAACGCUCCACUUAUAAUAAUUAAUCGUUUAUUUUCUAUAAUCUAUUUCUUCAUUCAAAAGUCGUUAGUGCUCCUGAUUCUCUGUUGGUUGUUGCUCCGCGAAAGCGUUGAGGUUGAUGAGCUUUGGGAGUUGAAAAUGUUUUAUUUAUUGAAAUUGUAACAGGUUCAUUUUAUUUCU